rnacentral:rRNA from 1 species
GAUCAACUCGGACUGACUCUCGUAAUGCAUCUAGNUAAGACGUUGAUCAUGGCUCACCAUUGAACGCUGGUCGUGCCAGCCUAACACAUGCAAGUCGAACGGUAACAGGAAGCAGCUUGCUGCUUCGCUGACGAGUGGCGGACGGGUGAGUAAUGUCUGGGAAACUGCCUGAUGGAGGGGGAUAACUACUGGAAACGGUAGCUAAUACCGCAUAACGUCGCAAGACCAAAGAGGGGGACCUUCGGGCCUCUUGCCAUCGGAUGUGCCCAGAUGGGAUUAGCUAGUAGGUGGGGUAACGGCUCACCUAGGCGACGAUCCCUAGCUGGUCUGAGAGGAUGACCAGCCACACUGGAACUGAGACACGGUCCAGACUCCUACGGGAGGCAGCAGUGGGGAAUAUUGCACAAUGGGCGCAAGCCUGAUGCAGCCAUGCCGCGUGUAUGAAGAAGGCCUUCGGGUUGUAAAGUACUUUCAGCGGGGAGGAAGGCGAUAAGGUUGAUAACCUUGUCGAUUGACGUUACCCGCAGAAGAAGCACCGGCUAAACUCCGUGCCAGCAGCCGCGGGUAAAUACGGAGGGGUGCAGCGUUAAUCGGAAUUACUGGGGCGUNAAAGCGCACGGCAGCGGUCUUGUCAAGUCGGAUUUGAAUCCCGGGGUUCAACCCGUGGAACUGGGUUUUCGAACCUUGGGCGGGCUUAGCGUUCUGGUCAGGGCGGUAGCACANUCCCCGGCUGUUCCGGGNAAUCGUUAGAUCUGCGGGACNACCGNGGCGAAAGGGNCCCCCCNUGCAAGUUUGCNUCGUUCAACUUUGGCGCCUCUUUUUCUUCUCCUUCUNUUCCCCCUGAUCAUUAUGNCAUGGUGCNNUGNACNCGUGUGCUUNAGUCAGCUAUCCCAUCCNUGUGGCCGCGAUUAUUUUGGUGCGGCGCCGUUUAGUUUUAGUACCAUUUCGUCNGANGUU